CGGGACGGGUGAGUAAUGUCUGGGAAACUGCCUGAUGGGAGGGGGUAACUACUGGAAACGGUAGCUAAUACCGCAUAACGUCGCAAGACCAAAGAGGGGGACCUUCGGGCCUCUUGCCAUCGGAUGUGCCCAGAUGGGAUUAGCUAGUAGGUGGGGUAACGGCUCACCUAGGCGACGAUCCCUAGCUGGUCUGAGAGGAUGACCAGCCACACUGGAACUGAGACACGGUCCAG
rnacentral:rRNA from 1 species